rnacentral:rRNA from 1 species
UACGUAGGCGGAAAAUUAAGUCAGUAGUGAAAUCAUGCAGCUUAACUGUAGAACUGUUAUUGAUACUGGUUUUCUUGAAUAUAGUUGAGGUAGGCGGAAUGUGUAAUGUAGCGGUGAAAUGCUUAGAUAUUACACAGAACACCGAUUGCGAAGGCAGCUUACUAAGCUAUGAUUGACGCUGAGGUACGAAAGCGUGGGGAGCGAACAGGAUUAGAUACCCUGGUAGUCC